AUUUAUUUAGUAUACAAGUACAUUUGACUUCCAAUCAAAAAGCCUAUCUUCUAGAAUAAAUA
rnacentral:tRNA from 1 species